AACCAAUCAAAAUUAAAUUACUUUUAUUUUUUUCAACCAAUAAAAUUAAAAUCCUUAAAUAUAUUAUAUUCUUACCAUAUUUAGUGUAUACCUCAUAUACUAUAUAAUAUAUGUCACGACCCAUUUCCGUGGGCCGGACCGGCACUAGGGCCCAGGUAAGCUUAAGGCCCCCGAGGCCCGUAGUAAGCCUAAAUCUCAAUUAACACAUAGUAUCUAACCAGGGCCUAUUCACAAUAAAUUAUAAUCACAUUAUGGGCUUACUGGCUCACCUGCAGCUAAUUACAUAAUAUUUAAUUUAUAGUGUAGUGCUAACAAUAAAUCCAAUAGUAAUACACAACCCUAUAACUGCGGAGUUCAAUAAUAAUCUGAUAAUAGAGUAACUUAUACAUCCAAAAUUAGACAACAGAAAUGUAAAGUUUACAUUUAUAACUCUGCGGAGAAGAUUGCAGAGCUUCAGUCGAAUCAGCUGCUUCCUAGUACCUGGGAGGUUUGGAGAGAAGGGGGUGAGUUUUACAACUCAGUGAAUAAUAAUAAAUAAUACACACCACAUACAGUCAAGCAAAAUGCACCCUAGUAUACUGAAUGAACACACAACAGUCAAUCAUAUGACAUUACAUCAGCAC
rnacentral:lncRNA from 1 species